rnacentral:tRNA from 1 species
GCCGAGGUGGCGGAACUGGUAGACGCGCAGGCUUGAGGGGCCUGUGAGCAUUGCGCUCGUGGAGGUUCGAGUCCUCUCCUCGGCA